CAGGAAGUUGUUGCAAAGCUUAUUUAGUUAAUGCAUAUUGUGCAAUUCAGGACCCUCGGAUUUGUCUGUGGGUUUCCAAGCUUAAUAUAUUAAUAUUAUGUCAUAUUAAUAUGUGAUUAUUUAUGUUGAUAUACUUUUAUCUGACUAGUGUGGUUCACAUCAGUAGCAAGCGAGCUGCAGGAUUUGUAGCCAGCCUGUCAUUUCUAAGACCAGAUUUGAUUCAUGGUCUCAUUUCCUGUUUUUCCUCCCACUGCUCACAGCUCCUUUUUUCCUUCUCCAUGGUCCAUUUAUUAAAUGUAGAGUUAGAAACACAAUUAGAAUUUACUCAAGUCUGAAUAUGAAUAUCUGAAUAUCUGAAUACGAAAUCUUUGGAACAAUAAAAAUUCUUUUCCAAACCUGUCUUAUCUAGCUUGCCUGUUCAGAUGAUGAGCUUGGCCUUCCCUACUGACUGAAUAAAUGAGAAAGAAGCAUGAUUCCAUCAAUUCCAAGCAAGGACAGUAGGAGAAAUUCUGAAAUUACCAAACACUGCUAUAAGACCUGCAAGUGCAAAAGCACAAUGUUAGGGACACUGUUGUCAGGGGCAGAGAAAUUCCUGCAUCUCUUCAGCCCUGGGUGCUGCUGAGAUGGAAGAGAGGAGAGAGGAGUGUUUUAUUCCCUUUGGAAAAUCAGGGGGAGAAGUUUCUCCAGCACACGGCUCAAAGCACUUAGCUUCUCAGCACUGCCCUUGGGGAACCAGUCUGUUUCUGCUGCCUGUAGAGAUGGGCAGACAAGUUGGCCAAGGUAAAUACCCACCUCACUGGACUCUUUGGUAUUUAGAUACAUGUAUAAGAACAGUAUUAUACAAAAUAACAUCUAAACAAUACUUCUCUAACUCACUAUCAGUGCAGCAAACAGGAAUGCUGUUCUUCCCCCUCCUCCUCCUCAUUUCAUUUGUACAACUGCCACCCUGGGUAUUGUAA
rnacentral:lncRNA from 1 species